rnacentral:rRNA from 1 species
UACGUAGGGUGCAAGCGUUAAUCGGAAUUACUGGGCGUAAAGCGUGCGCAGGCGGUUCUGCAAGUCCGAUGUGAAAUCCCCGGGCUUAACCUGGGAAUGGCAUUGGUGACUGCACGGCUAGAGUGUGUCAGAGGGGGGUAGAAUUCCACGUGUAGCAGUGAAAUGCGUAGAGAUGUGGAGGAAUACCGAUGGCGAAGGCAGCCCCCUGGGAUAACACUGACGCUCAUGCACGAAAGCGUGGGGAGCAAACAGG